UACGGAGGAUCCGAGCGUUAUCCGGAUUUAUUGGGUUUAAAGGGAGCGUAGGUGGAUUGUUAAGUCAGUUGUGAAAGUUUGCGGCUCAACCGUAAAAUUGCAGUUGAAACUGGCAGUCUUGAGUACAGUAGAGGUGGGCGGAAUUCGUGGUGUAGCGGUGAAAUGCUUAGAUAUCACGAAGAGCUCCGAUUGCGAAGGCAGCUCACUGGACUGCAACUGACACUGAGGCUCGAAAGUGUGGGUAUCAAACAGG
rnacentral:rRNA from 1 species